AAAUAAAUCUGAAGUGGAUCUACUGGAUUUGAAUAUUAAAGUCACCACAUUUUCCAGCUGCUUCUGUCUUCGAUUUUAAUCUAUAUAAAAAAAAGGAAACUCAUUCGUCUUGGCUGCUUUUUUUAUGUGUGUACGUAUUUAUUUAUUUAUUUAUUUUGCUCUAACAAGAAUUAAUCUAUAUUUAAUUAAAUCAAGUACAUUUUAUUUUACAUUCGAUUUGUCCAUUUCUGCAUCUAAACGCCUAAAAACCUAAAACAUGCUCUAUUAUACUAUUGUUAGCAAUUUCUUUAUCGUCCAAUUUAUCUGGUGUACACACUUUUAUUUUCAUAAUAAACUUGUUUGUUAGAUUAUAGACAGUUACAGUGGUCUAUAAUAAAUAUUAACAGGUUUUAUUCAAGCUGUUUAGAAUGAUUGAAGUAGGCUAAUUUUUUAAAAUUUUAUAAAUACAGCUAUAAAUAGCUUGUUCUUGGUUUAUAAGCACAUUUAUUAAAAAGGAGAGUAAAGGGUCUGUUAUCUUCCUAUGAAAAAUAAAAAAAUAAAAAUAAACAAACAACAA